AGGCAUAGUUUGGUCCUAGCAGCACCAGUUUUUAUAGCUGGGUUGCCAGACCCUGCCUGGACUGAUCCUCCUUGCUGGGUUCUGAGUGUAGCUCAAGAGAGCUCAUUCUGAAGUGUCACUGGUGCUCUCUGUACUGAAACCUGCCAGCAUUGCCAGCCCAGACCUCUCUGCAUGGCACGGUGGGAGGAAAAGGGUACUGGUACCUGUAAAAAUGUGCAGAAGCUGUUCAUGAGAAUACAGACCUUUGGCUGCCCUUGGCAACAGCACGGGAUUGUGGUUUAGGAAUGGCAUAUUACGUUAGAUCUCCCUUCUAAAGGAACAUUUGUGACCCAGCUCCCCUCAGGUGGUGUCAGCUGUGUAUUGCCUUCAUUUCUCU
rnacentral:lncRNA from 1 species